rnacentral:SRP_RNA from 1 species
GCCGGGCAUGGUGGCGUGUACCUGUAAUCUCAGCUACUCAGGAGGCUGAGGCAGGAGAAUUGCUUGAACCCAGGAGGUGGAGGUUGCAGUGAGCCAAGAUCAUGCCACUGUAGUCCAGCCUGGGUGACAGAGUGAGAUUCUGUCUCUA